rnacentral:rRNA from 1 species
GGAGGUAGUGACAAUAAAUCACAAUGCGGGACUAUUAGUUUUGCAAUUGGAUUGAGAACAAUGUAAAAGAGUUAUCGAUAAACAAUUGGAGGGCAAGUCUGGUGCCAGCAGCCGCGGUAAUUCCAGCUCCAAUAGCGUAUAUUAACGUUGUUGCAGUUAAAAAGCUCGUAGUUGAAGUGUGGGGUGAAAAAAUUGGUAAUCUUUUUGAUUGCUUAUUUGCUCACCCCCUCUCCAAUUUGUUAUUAUGGGUAUUAAUUUACUUGUAAUAGCUGUUGGUCAUUUACUGUGAGAAAAUUAGAGUGUUCAAAGCAGGCAUUUGCUUGAAUAUAUUAGCAUGGAAUAAUAGUAAAAGGCUUUUGUGGUCGAUUUAAUUGGUUUGUUCAUAAAAGCAAGAUUAAUAGGGACAGUUGGGGGUAUUCAUAUUCAAUAGUUAGAGGUGAAAUUCUCGGAUUUAUGGAAGAUGAACAAGUGCGAAAGCA